rnacentral:rRNA from 1 species
AAUCAACGCUGGCGGCGUGCCUCAGACAUGCAAGUCGAACGCGAAAGUCCCCCGUCGGGGGACAAGUAGAGUGGCGCACGGGUGAGUAACACGUAGGUAAUCUACCUUCGGGUGGGGAAGUAACAAAUCGGAAACGGUUAGCUAAUACCGCAUAAUGCAGCGGCACCUAAUGGUGACAGUUGUUAAAGCGGGGGAUCGCAAGAUCUCGCGCCUGAAGAGGAGCCUGCGGCGGAGUUAGCUAGUUGGUAGGGU